rnacentral:lncRNA from 1 species
CCCGCCCAGCUCCCAAGCUCGCCAAGUUCACGUCCGGCAGAGGAACCAUCUGAGAUCCUUUAGUCCUUCCCUGGUGCUGUGCUCAGUGCCGAGACCCAGCAGAGACCCCCGGGAUGAUGUCUCCCCACCAGAAUGAGCAAACUGGGGUGCACAGGGAGCUGCAGAUGGUGAUGGGUUUGGGGAAGGAAGUGAACAGGGUACCGUAAUAGGGUGGUAUGUGGGGGUCACUCCCUCUGGGAGAUGGCAUCAAGGAAGGCUCCUUGUGACCCCAGUGCGGAGUGGGGGUGCCCCCGGAGACAUGAGGCAGGGCAGGCGGGGGCUGGGGAGCAGUCAGCACGGCUCCUUGGAGGAACAGACCUGGGACACGGGAGCAGUGGGGAAGGGGGCAGGCCCAGACGGCCCGGCCCUGGUCCAACAGAGGCAGACGGGCACCCUCACGGAGGACGGCUUGGAUGUGAUGGGUGUGGUGCCCCUAAAAGGGCAGGCGUUCCUGCCUCUGGUCCCAGAGCCCCGCCGCCUGCCCGUGGGGCCCCUGCUCCGAGCGCUGGCCACCUGCCAUGCCCUCAGCCGGCUCCAGGACACCCCCGUGGGCGACCCCAUGGACCUCAAGAUGGUGGAAUCUACUGGCUGGGUGAGGAGGCCGAGCAGGUCAGCCCCUGCCUCUGGGCAGCCGGGCUCUCACUAACCCCACCUGGUCUUCAUUCCAGGACUUCGGGUGGCACCCGUUGUGCCACCAUCAUUAAUAACAAUGGCCAAGGCCACGUGUGAGCACCCACUUUGUGCCAGCCCUCCGUGGCACAGGCCGUGGCUCGCGCUCUUCCUGUAGCCCAGGAAGGAAGCUUCCAAAGCUGCCUCCCAGAGAGGAGGCUGAGGCCGAGGGAGACUGGGAAUAACUUGUCCAAGGUCACCCUGCAACUUGUAAGUGGCAAAGCCAGGGUUUGAACUGGGGUCUGUCCGACUCCAAAGCCCGUGUUCUUAACUCCCAUCCGGUCUCCCACGAAGGAAGUCUUCCAUGAGUGUAGGUUGACUCUCCCGCCA